rfam:Aedes aegypti strain Liverpool supercont1.413 genomic scaffold, whole genome shotgun sequence.
CCUCUCAUGGCGUAGUGGUUAACGCGCCCUAACUAGAGAUCAGGGAGUCGUGAGAUCGAUUCUCACUGAGAAGA